CAUGCACCUAUCAUGUAUAUUGCAGAGAGGAGCAGUUUGACUCCCUAGAGAACAGUGAGGGCAUUGUUUAUCUAUCAGAUGGAUUGAGCUGUGCGAUCAGAGACAUCGGGAUGGUUAGCUAAAGGAUACAUGAUGGUGCAGUAGAAAAAUUAGAGGAGGUUCGAUACAUACUCAAUUUCAUAUAGAAUCUUAUCUCACUG
rnacentral:lncRNA from 1 species